AGGGGGAGGGGAAGAGGAGGAGCUGAUGGUUGAGGAUCUGGUACAAUGGAAACAGGUUGCAUCUAUAAACAUAAAAUAUAUCAUGUGAAAUUUAAAGAAUAAAGGAAAGCUGACAACCACAUAAUGUACACACUACAUGAUGAGCUCUUAAAUCAGUAAACAAGAAUAAAGAAAGAGUGGCAGAGACCAUCCUCCAUGUCGGGUGGCCAUGUUCAUUAGGAGUG